rnacentral:rRNA from 1 species
AGUGAACGCUGGCGGUAGGCCUAACACAUGCAAGUCGAACGGCAGCACAGUAAGAGCUUGCUCUUACGGGUGGCGAGUGGCGGACGGGUGAGGAAUACAUCGGAAUCUACUUUUUCGUGGGGGAUAACGUAGGGAAACUUACGCUAAUACCGCAUACGACCUACGGGUGAAAGCAGGGGAUCUUCGGACCUUGCGCGAUUGAAUGAGCCGAUGUCGGAUUAGCUAGUUGGCGGGGUAAAGGCCCACCAAGGCGACGAUCCGUAGCUGGUCUGAGAGGAUGUUCAGCCACACUGGAACUGAGACACGGUCCAGACUCCCACGGGAGGCAGCAGUGGGGAAUAUUGGACAAUGGGCGCAAGCCUGAUCCAGCCAUACCGCGUGGGUGAAGAAGGCCUUCGGGUUGUAAAGCCCUUUUGUUGGGAAAGAAAAGCAGCAGGUUAAUACCCCGCUGUUCUGACGGUACCCAAAGAAUAAGCACCGGCUAACUUCGUG